CCCUCGCCCCGCCCCGCCCGGGGCUGAAGGAGACCGCCUCCGCAGGGUGUCCUACUGUUUCCAUUGCUUUUCCCCGGCUUUUCCCUCUUUGUCUUCCCUUCUUCCUGCUUAGACAAAUCACCGGGCCUGCAGCUCUGUUUGGAAACCUCCUGAAGCAGUGCCAUGAGAUCUACUGAACACUAUUAGUCAGCCCUCUGCUGCCUUGGUUCUUGGCUGGUGUGUUCACACAGACUGAGAUCAGAGCCUGUCCAAACCAAUAAGCCACACUCUGGAUGGAACAUCUGAAAGGCAGAACACCCACCUGCACUUUUAAUGUAGUGGUCAUCACUGGCAGAGAAACUGAGAGGUGUAGGAGGUCUGUGACUCAGCUGGAUGGAAGCACCUUCUUUAUUUUCUCUUUUAGGGUGCAGUCCUGAGAUAAGUGAGAUUUCUCAUCAUUUGAAGCUUAAGCGUGAGCCAUUACUCAGCUAAAAGUCCAGACGAGUUGUCAGAAGGGUUCUUACCCAGCCCUGGGACAACAGAUCACAGAGGCACGAAGGAUACAAGAGUGGGAAACUCCAGGCUGCCAUCCAGAACCACACAGAAGACACCGACAUCAGUCUCCACUUCUGAUAAAAGCUACUAAGGUGCUGGUUUGGUUUUUAUUAAAUAGAAUACCAUCACACUGUAUAUUACUAUCCCUAAAAAGAAUACAAACUAAGGAAGAAUGAAAGAAAUAAAAAAAUGAGCAAGUUCAUUCACAGCUUUGAAGAAACAAUUCAGCAGGCAGAAGCCACAUAAUGACAUCACUAAGCACCAAUAGCUCUUCCACAUCCCAGAAAACAAGCCCUCUGUGCUUUUCAAAGGAUGCUGGCAGCUUUGUGUGAGAUUUCUAAGGCACAUUUUAUACUGAAAACUGACCCUGUACUCAAAUAUUGCUGCUCUGUUCUAAAAACACCAAUGGAAGAACUGCUAGUGCUUUGGUACUUCUAUGCUGAAUAUCAGCUCUGCUUAAAAAAACAGACACCCAGGGCAGAAUUCACUGUGGUACACACACCCUGAAACUCCCAAAUGACCCACCAUACCUCACUGGAUUAUUUUCAAAAUAGAAUUUCCAAUCUUGCAGUAACUGUGAAACCUCCUUAGCAGACCCUCAGUGCCUUUGGAUAUACACAAGAAAUUACACAUCCACUGCGUUGUACUGGCAGGCCAAUGCAGAAGAGAUUUGUCUAUCAGGCUAACCUGAAAACUUCACACUCUGAAAUGCAGCGCCUUUACUGGAGGUUUCUCUUUCCAGGUGAGCUCCCACUUAGCCUCUCAUUUACAUAAUUCUAUUUUCAUUCCUGGAUUUUCAUUUCAACACAGUCUAAACUGAUCACAGUGCAAAGAAUUGAAAGUAACACCACAAUCACCUGAGCAGUCUCUGGACAGAUUUGUGAAUGUCAGAAUAAGAAAAUAAGGCAUUUUUGAAGAAUGCUUUUGCUGCUGUUACAGUUUUCAACAUCUUUUCCAGUUUUGUUCAUUUGUCACUUGUCCUUCCUCCUUUCAGUCUGAUGUAUGGAAAAAUAAGCUGUAAGUGGGGGAGUCAAGCAGCAAAGCAUUGCUCUAAAUGAGUGAAUGACAAUCAUGGUGCUUUGGCAUACAGAGACAAUAUAUCCUCAAUGUAAGGAGAUUAACAACUUUAUUGACACUCUGUAGUAUCAACAUGAACUCAGCUAUCUCUGUAGCCUUUGGAGUAAUUCUACCUACAUCUUCCUCACACUAUGCAGUUCUCUAUGUUCCAGUAAAGCCAGUUUUGGUAACCAGAAAUUAGCAGCUGUUCUCUUGGAUAAAACAGAGUUUGAAGGAAAGUCUUUGGCCAAAGACAAAUGUUAUGAAAUGGCGCUUCAGUAAGCAGCUCAAGUUUUCAGUCUGCAUAUUAAGAACAAACAAUUAAGAACUAUUUUAUCUUGAAGCCCAGAUGCUGUACAGCUGGUUAAAAUUAAACCACGUAGCACAAGUAAAAAACAUACCCAUAGAGCAAGGACCAUUUUGUUGAAGGUAGAACACUAAGAAAGACUUACUCUGUGUCCCCAAACACAACUGAGCUGCCAAGCACUAUUUUUAUUCUCUUCUGCCUAUCUGCUGUGAAGAGAUAAAAGGCUCAGCAACUGAAUAUUGUGUUUCACAGAGUAUUUUUGAAGGACAGAUGCUUGCUUACGCAGGUUUUAAGAAGGUUCAGAACUAAGAGAACGUGUGUUGCCUCAGGACAGAAGUGUAGGGUUACCUGGAUUCACAUGCAGUCUCCAUUGUAGACUGCAAGAUAUUCCUCACCUCUACCUUCACUUUUUCUUGACCUAAUGUGUAACAGCUCUAUUUUGUCAAGAACAUUCCUCCUAGUCCGAAAACAUCACAGGAUUUUGCCAGAUACCUGUUAGAAACAUUUUUUGAGCUGGUGCUUUAAUGGAGCAAUGAAGUGAUGCAGAGGUGAUACCACCACUGUGAGAGACUAAUGGAAUGCUGCAUACCACUUCCCUGCUUGAACCCAUCCAGGCUCUUGUGUGGAUCAAUAAUGCUGCUGGAAUAUAAUACAAACUCUGGGUAUAAACUCUGCUUCUUAGAAGUCUGAGAAGCAAUCACUGCUACACCCAGUUUGAACAAAUAUUAACAGAGGGAAAAACAACUGGUUUGCCAAUAAUGCUACACUGGCUGCCACAACUUAGCAAUGGUUAAGUGCUAGUGUAUUUAGAAGCAUUUUCAAAUGUAUUUUUAGAUUAUCCAGAGUUAUUUUUACCAGCAGAACAUUCUUACUAAUGACUGAUCUAAAUUAGAGAUUAAAUAUUAAAAUAAACCAACUCCAAACUCUGGAAAGAAGCCCUUUCUGUACUCAAUAAGGCAAAGCUAAACCCCAUUAUAUUUAAACUAAACAUACUGCUAAUGCCACGGUUUUCUGCCCAUCAGAUGGCUCAGCUGCCAUUUUUCUAAGAACACUCUCUUGAAGGAGACUGGGUUCAGGAAGGCAAGCAAGCAAGUCUGCUGUUAUAAAACACAGAUAAUCUAAGACAAAAGCAGGGAGCCCCUGCUCUGAUGGGAGCAGGGUCACCCCCAAACACCAUAUGCUGGCAUUUCCCAGGUCCAGCGUUAAAAGAUGCAGAAAACAGUUCCUUAUUUUCACUGAGAUAUGCAAACAGGUGUCCAUGUGGUCAAGGCAUGAGCAUCACCUUGGCUCUACUCCACCUCUGAGUAUGCAGCAUCAGGAAUGCCAUUAGAAGCAAACUGUUUGCUCCUCUCCUCAGGAAAAUAAAACAGCAUCAAACAGAACUGUCAAGACAAGGAACAAGGUCAAUAUGUAACAUCUGAAGCUCCUGGAGUCUCUUGGGCACAUGAAUGUUUCUAGCUUUUGGGCAAAACUCACCUCACAUUGCACUGUAAUAGGAGCAUCUUUGCUCCUGGUGUGGCAAACAAGGAAUUUAACAGAACUGGAUAAGAACUUGACCAGAAAAUUCAAGCAGAAUACCUUUUUUUGCUUCUCAUCACAGGAACAGCUGAUUCUCUGUCCCCAGGGAAAGUGAGGAAGGGGCUAAAAGCAGUGGCAGCACAUGCUGCACCCAGGGAAGUGAAAAGGGGUGGUGGAAACAAAGACACAUUUCAGUGGGAAUCUGUGAAGAAUCUUUUUCCAGUAAUGAAGCAUUAUCCUUCAGCUGGAGAUGCCUACUGGCAUCUGCAAGGUGACAACAGCUGCAGGGUACUUCGAGUACCUGACUGAGGGACAGCAACUUCUUAAACCACUACACAGAUUUGUGUCCACAUCCCAAAACAGAUUACAGUAGAAUAAAUAACAGUCCAGGAAAGAAGAAAGGAUUUGAAAAAUCAGGAGAUGUAACGGCCAAAGACAUGCUGGCAUAUGUGAGAAUUAUGGAGAAAUAGGUACUGAUUGGCUGUUUCUCAGAAGAUACCAAAGGAUUUUCAGAAAUAUGGCAUAUUUAGAAACGUCUAUCUCUUUUAAGUCAUCCUUAUUGGAGAAACAACCUCUGAUCCUGCAUUUAAAUUCUGAAGUUCAUGGCUAACCCUUUAAGUACUAACUGCCUUUUAUCAGCUGUCCUACCCUGAACUGAAGUUCUGUAUUACUUGCUACUCCACAUCAGUCAUGACAUUAUUUGCUGCUUCAAUGGCUCUAAAUAAAUCUAGGACAGUGGAGGCUGUUGGUAGAUGUCAGGCAUGACCAAAAAUAAGCUACUUGCGUAAAAAAGUGCAUUAAAAUACACUGCCAAACGGGAUGCCCUUCUGCAACAUUCAUUCAGCAACCACAAUGCAUUUCACCUUAUUUAUAGCUCACAGCCUGGCUUAUUUCAAUAAAUCUGUAUCAAUGCAGACACAAAAAUAGAACUUCCUCAGCAGCUGAAAGCUUGUUUCAGCAGUGGCACAGCACGAAAGCUGGCAUGGGGAAGAAAGAUGACAGAGCUGGGAGCAGCCUGUGUGGCACUUCUAUGCACGGCCACCCCUGCGUCACAGCUGAUUCGGGCUGGCUCUGACGUCAGGACUGCUGCACCAGUGUCACUGUCACACAGCCCAGAAGUGGGAUGUGAGAAUCCAAGGACAUCACCUUACAAGGAAGCUAAGGCAAAAAAACCCAGCCUCACACCACUCCUGACUGAGGGGACGCUAAGCACAGAGCCAACUUCAUAGCCAGGGUGUUUUAUAUUUGCAAGUCUCACGUUUUGCUAACAAAACUGCAGCAACUUGAGAAAUUACUGCUGAAGAAACUUGGUGAUCAGUUAAGAAACACUAAGCCAAUCAGACUAAACUAAUGCCUGGUGUAAAAAGAAAAGAAACAAAUCCCAAACUCAAGUCAUAGCGCAGAAAUGGUGGGAGCUGAGAAGAGCGGCCAGUCUGUGGCCUUGCUACACUGACACCAAACCACUCAGCUUGUUUCUGCAGAGUGGAAGUGUUGCAAGUCUGGAUUUACAGUCAACACACACCACACAAUGACCCAAUCAUAAACCUAAACCAUCUGAGAAGAGCAAACAAACCUUUCCAACAGACUCACUACAAGGCAGGUCUUACAGUGAUGCCUCUAGUUUGACAUGCCUUGCACCAGAUGGAUUGACAUCUCUCACAAAAAUCCCAGUGCCAUUUGGCCUGGAAGAAGUUAAUUAGAUAUUUUCCUUGAGCAUUAUAUUUCAGAGAGAAAACUGAGUUUUGCAGCACUUUCCAGUAAGUUCUGAGAAAAGUCAGUCAGGGUCAAAAAGUUAUUCAAUAGAUGGGUGCAGAUGUCACACCUUGUGUUUUUAGAUUCAAACCUGGUAAUUGUUCUUUUUUCUAGGGAAGAUUUUUUUUUACAUUCUGAGGAAAAUCAGGCCACAGCUUAGCCUAAUUAUGAACUUCUGAAAAUGGUGUCAUUUGUACUGAAAAUUGAAGUUUGAAAAGCAAGGUUCAACUCAUUAUCAAAACUGAGCUUUCAAAAAAAAAAAAAAAAAAAGAACUGGAUUAAACCAAGCCUUCUCUGCAAUUUCCACCAGCUAGAAAAGCACCUAGUAAUGAUAACAUAAGGCUCCUUGCUGUGUUCUCUUCUGUUGUUUCCUGAGCAGGAUGAAAAAGAAAUAAUCCUGCAGCAAAGGCUCAGGCUAUGAGAAAAGGAAAUCACCAAAUUUGAAAGUCUGUAAGGCAGAAAGAGGCAGGUGGUGAUCAAGUGGCACAGCAGAAGGGACUGACUGAGCCCCUAGAACAAAAGCAGCUCUGCAGUCUCUUCUGCUCCAGUUUGAGUGGCACAGAAAAUGUUCCUUUUUUCCCCACUGCAGUCAUACAUCAUCAAUACCUUGCUCUGGACUACUCCAGAAGGGAAUAAGCAUGUCUAAAUCCUGAUUCUUCUUUCAUACAGCACAGAUGGCAUCUGGACAAAACUAUUCUUUGCUUUUUCCAAAGGGAUGCUUUUUUCCCCCCUAUAACUCAGUUAAAAGAAACUACAUGAGAAACUAUUGUGCUCUCUUCCCAGUUACUUAAAAAUUACCCUGAUGAUUUAUUUCAACUGUUAUCUCCGAAGACAUUCCAAAUUACAAAAAAAUGAGCAAAAUUUUAAUGCAGUAAAUGCAGGCAAAGUGAGAUAUAAUACCAAUGCAGACAGACUUGAUGUACAUUGAAAGAAAAUUUCAGAGGACAUCCAUGUGCCAACCUACACCCACCUCACAGUGCAGGAGCCAUGUGCCUCAAGAACUACCAGGACUGGAAGUCAGGCUGAGCUCCACCCAAACCCAAGGCACUCUGGUCUCAUUUCAGAGCCAUCACACCCUGUGCCUGGCUGGGCCCAGUUGCUGCAUGACUUUCCAUUUGGGACACACUUCAACUGUUUUUACAGAGUCAGCCAUGAUAAAUUCAGGUUAUUGAGAACAUACAUAAAGUAGUCAAAUAGAGCAGCUUGCCCCUGUCUAAACCAGUGACUUAUGCCCUCUGGAAGAAAAUAACAAACUUAACACCCAAAAUUAAAUAAUUUCAAAUAUUUUUCUCAGAAUUUCAGUACUACAAGAACUUAUACAUUCAAGUACAACGCAAAAACAGUUGCAUUGUAUUUAUGUUUGUGAUCAAAAAUAGGUCUGGAUAUACAUUUAGAAGCAGGAAGUUAAUUCAACUUACAUUAACUUAC